rnacentral:rRNA from 1 species
UACGAAGGGGGGCUAGCGUUGCUCGGAAUUACUGGGCGUAAAGGGCGCGUAGGCGGACAGCUUAGUCAGAGGUGAAAGCCCAGGGCUCAACCUUGGAAUUGCCUUUGAUACUGGCUAUCUUGAGUUCGGGAGAGGUGAGUGGAAUGCCGAGUGUAGAGGUGAAAUUCGUAGAUAUUCGGCGGAACACCAGUGGCGAAGGCGAACUCACUGGCCCGAUACUGACGCUGAGGCGCGAAAAGCGUGGGGGAGCAAACAGGGAUUAAGAAACCCCGGAUAGU